rnacentral:piRNA from 1 species
UAGUUCUUUCGUAUAUUUGAC